rnacentral:rRNA from 1 species
UCGGGAAUUUUGGGCAAUGGGCGAAAGCCUGACCCAGCAACGCCGCGUGAAGGAUGAAGUAUUUCGGUAUGUAAACUUCGAAAGAAUAGGAAGAAUAAAUGACGGUACUAUUUAUAAGGUCCGGCUAACUACGUGCCAGCAGCCGCGGUAAUACGUAGGGACCAAGCGUUGUUCGGAUUUACUGGGCGUAAAGGGCGCGUAGGCGGCAAUUCAAGUCAUCUGUGAAAUCUCCGGGGCUUAACUCGGAACGGUCAGAUGAUACUGCUUUGCUAGAGUGCAGAAGGGGCAAUCGGAAUUCUUGGUGUAGCGGUGAAAUGCGUAGAUAUCAAGAGGAACACCUGAGGUGAAGACGGGUUGCUGGGCUGACACUGACGCUGAGGCGCGAAAGCC